UGUGGCCCUUAUUGAAGCUAAAGUUGCUCCACACAGCUUUUGCAGUCAAAAAAGAGCCCACAGUGAGGUUUUCCUUGACGGUCGCCAUUCAGUUUGCUGUAACUUAUCUGCAGCAUUUCAGAAAAAGACAUUG